rnacentral:rRNA from 1 species
CCUGGCGGCCGCAGCGCGGUGGUCCCACCUGACCCCAUGCCGAACUCAGAAGUGAAACGCCGUAGCGCCGAUGGUAGUGUGGGGUCUCCCCAUGCGAGAGUAGGGAACUGCCAGGC